rnacentral:lncRNA from 1 species
CAAGGGCUGGGGGAUCUCUCCCCCCUUUCGUUUGCAUUGUUUAAACCACCUUAAUUGUGCUUUUCUUUUCUGAACAUAAUAAUGGCUCAGUAGAUUAACGGGGAACUUAAUCGGAAGGAGGCAUGAAAAGCCCGCAGAACACACAAAGCCAGAUGCAUUGGAUUUGCAGGCACUUCUUUGCCAACUGUCAGGUAUUGAAUUCACAUCAGAAGUUCCAAAAGGCAGCUAGCAGGGAGUUCAGACUCUUUCAGAGAUUCCCCCGCCUUGGCCUUUAAACUGGGGCUGGUGUCAGAGGUUGGCAUCAUUGUCAGCUGCCUAGGACCAAACCCCAUUAUGGGGCCAAGGGCUCUGCCAAUCCGUGGAGCCUUUUUCCCUAUUGUUGCUCCUCCUCCUGUCAGUAUUAUUGCCUGUUCACCUGGCUUCUCUGCGUGAGCAAGCAGUGAGUGGGGAGAGCAGCAAUAACUUCUGCAUGCCUUGUUCUCUCUCCAUUUAUCUGAGAGGCAGUGCGGAUUGCACCCAGAGAAGGAGAAAGAGAAUGGAGAGUGGUAACAGUGGCAGGGAAGAGGAGGUGAGUGUGCUCAAGGAGGGCCACCCACUAACUUCCAAAAAACCCUAAAGGUAAAGGUAAAGGGACCCCUGACCAUUAGGUCCAGUCGUGACCGACUCUGAGGUUGCGGCGCUCAUCUCGCUUUAUUGGCCGAGGGAGCUGGCGUACAGCUUCCGGGUCAUGUGGCCAGCAUGACUAAGCCGCUUCUGGCGAACCAGAGCAGUGCACAGAAACUCCGUUUACCUUCCCGCUGGAGCGGUACCUAUUUAUCUACUUGCACUUUGAUGUGCUUUCGAACUGCUAGGUUGGCAGGAGCAGGGACCGAGCAAUGGGAGCUCACCCCGUCGCGGGGAUUCGAACUGCCAAUCUUCUGAUUGGCAAGUCCUAGGCUCUGUGGUUUAACCCUCAGUGCCACCCGCAUCCCUGCUCAGCCCCAAACUGUGCCAACUCUCCAACCAAUGGUCAGGGAUGAUCGGAGUUGUAAUCCAGCAAGAUCUGGAUGUGGUGGCGGACCUUGGGGUCUCAGAUUUCAGCAGUGCCCUAUGCAACACCAAAAUCUGGCACUCCCUGCCUCUCGCCUUCCAUUCUACAUCAUAGUUAUAGUGCCCCCUUUGGUACUCCUUCGGCUCUGUGCCCAGUGCGACUGAGGCAGCCACACUCCCCUAAAUCCACCUCUGCUGGAGGGCACCUGGUUGGGCUUUGUGGUUGUGUAUAUUCAGAGAUGGCCAUUUCAUGACUACAUUGGGGCUUCCUAGGAGAGGCAUGGAGUUUGUGACUUACCUGAGCCCAGUUCAGAUAGACACUCAACUAACAUCUCAGUCGUAAGCAUGUUUACUUGAAGCAAGUCCCACUGACUUUUAAUGGGGCUAAAAUCCAAAGAAAUAUGCAGUCUGUGCGUACUGAGCUGCUACUACAGCGAGAGAGCAAGUUGUAUUCUUCCUACUUGAUGCUUCAUUAAUUUGGCCCUAAUUGGCCAUGUAAACAAAAAGAUGCAGUUAUUCAAUCAGAACUCAGGCUUUGAGCUGCCAAGAUCUAGACAGAGGGGGAAAGGAAUGCACUAGUAGUAUUCUGGGCCUUGUGAUACCUAAAAAAAGGAAUCUUCUCCACUCCCCACAGUCUUCUCACCCAUCAGAAAUAAGGCAAUUAAGUAAAUUGUGGUAGGGGAAAAGUUAAAUAUCACCUCCCUACCCCCCACCCCCAAUAAUUCUUCAUUCACAGUCAUAGGACACUUUUGAGUGGGAUUUGGUCAUUUUCCAUUACUUUCCUUAUCACAAAAAGUCCAGUGUUUUGAGGAAGUAGAUUUAUUUCACUCCCAAACAAUUAUAAUUAUGCAACCUGAAUUUGCCUGUAAGAGCACAUCCACACCUCUACUUAUCCCAUGCUUCCCAGGCACAUGUCCUAGCAGUUUUGCCUUUGCACCACUGCUUUCCCUUGGAAAACCCUCUAUUUAGCACUAAAUUGGAACAAAUGGCAAUCUGCAGAAAACCCAGUUGCCAUUUAUUCUGCUUCGUCACCAAUUCAUGGGUUUUCCCAGAGGAAAGCUGCAGGGCAAACAGAAGUGUGGAUGAGGUCUUAUAGGCAAAUUCCAGUUGCACAAUUGCAUUGUUUGGGAGUGCAACAGGGCUACUUCCCCCAAAGACCAGACUUUUUGUGAUAAGGAAAGUGAUGAAAAAUGCUAUGGAAAGUGUGGGAUAACACUUGCUCAAUGCCACGUAAUCUAACCUCCCCACAACCAAAUCAUGACAAAUGUGCAAUAAAUAGCUGGUGCUGUCUCACCUCCCUGUACACAAAUCAGGAUGAAUGCUCAGUAAACGGGUUGCUGGCUUCCCCAGAGACUGCUUUUCAUUUAAUAAACAGACAAAUUAGGGCUUUUAAACACAUAUUUGCGAGUAACAUAAUCUUUCCCAGAAUUCUAGUGUUUGGCAGACAUUUUUUCCUCAGAUAAAUCCCUCAGCCCAUGUGCUCAUGAAGUGAAGUUGCAGGGAAGAAGGGAGUAAACUUCUCAUGUCAUGAUUUGUGUCCUUGUGGUGUAUGAUCUCCUCACUCCCAUUUGUCGACUCAUCAAUUUGUAGCCUGUCAAUGCGUCAUGUAACCUGCAGGACACUGAUAACAAAAACUGCAGCAAGCUUGAUGCUUUAAUAAUAACUAGCAGGGAAAGCAAGAGAAGGUGGUAGGGUGGCCACUUAACCUUUUUGCCACCCCCCCAAAAGAACAGAGGAUACAGAUCUGCAUAAGAUUUGCAUAUCCAAGCUUAUAUAUGUAUAGAUGCAAAUUUAGAAGUAGUUGCAACAAUUUAAAUUGAAAUGCAGUAUAUCUUGCCAUGGCAUGGGAGGCUGUGAUCAGAUGUCUUGCUGUGUUUCUGCUCAGUCUUCUGCCCAGGUUUUAACUGUUGAAAUGCCACUUCAGUAGAUUCAGUCUUCCUUUUUUAUCUUCAAAUGUAUGAUGUGGAUGUGACCAUCCUCCAUGAUUCCCUAAGUGGAAAGGAGCUGCUCUCAACACAUUUAUUAUUAUUAUUAUUAUUAUUAUUAUUAUUACACACAUUUCAAUUAAUGCAUUAAAACAGCGUUCAUAAGUUGAGCAGUGAUGGGCCCUGGAAUCAUAUUAAAUUAUGCACAUGCUCCAAACAGCAGUCACCCUGAUGAAAAACCCUCAGGUUUCAGGGCUGAGCUCCAUCACUGAAACAGGGUUUCAGUGGUAAAGUUGCCCCAGAUUAAGCCCAACACAGAACACAUCUUCAAGCGGAGUGUUGCUAGUUUGGUGCCAAGUCCUGCCACAACCUCACAACUCUAAGAAAUUAAAUGAAACCACAUCAUACUGUGAAAUGUAGCUCUUUGAUUCUCUCUCUUCCUCCUGCCUCCCCACACUCUUCAUUCUCAUUAAGGCGUGUGAUUAGUAUCUCAUCACUGAGAGUGACAGUGAGCAGGAAUCUUCUUGUUAAUUUCAACCAGGACAGGCUUGAGUUUUAAAUCCUAAACAAAAAUUAAAUGGCCAUGAAGCGCUUGCUCACCUCCCAGGAGAUAUUUCUGUUUCAGCCUGACAGCUUAAUUAAAAGCCAGGCAAACGGGAUAUGCAACAUGCUUAUCUAUCGCGUGGCACCGUGCUGUGAGUGCAGAGCCCAGGAAGGAGAGAGGUUUGCCUUGGCGCAAAUCACUGCAGUGAUUAAAUUUAAGAGAGGGGGAGUUUUGCCAGCAAAUUCAAUAUUCUUGGGCAAAACAUUCCAAUUAAAGUAACAUUCUCUCCAAUUUUUAGCAAACAUUCCUGCUCACGGGCGUUGGGUGGUUUUAGAUUUGAAAUUUAGCCGUUUGGGAUGUGGAAUUUUUAAAAUAUAAAUUUUAAAAUUUGAAAUUUUGAAUUCAGAUUUCAAAAAUUGCUAUACGAAUUGUUUUCCAAGAAGUGAUAGGAGCUGCACUAAUAAGGGAUGAUCACAAUAUUUUUUUCAACUUUUGUGGAAAGGAAAGGCGAUGAGGAAGGUGGUCGCACAGAAGUAUGAUUGGAGAGAAUUUCAUGUAUGAGGAGAAGCAAAGGGAAAUGGGCAGAGUCGCUUCAGGUAGCAAGGGUACAUUGGAUGGCCACAGUGGUGGAACUGGACUAGAGAAGGUUUCAGGAAGGGAAAGCAAGGGCAAGAAGUUUGUGCAGGCUGUGGGGGUGGACAGGGAGCCCCCCAAAGGAAUUUAUGGAAGAGAGGGGAGGCAGUGUGGUGAAAAAGAAGGUCUUCUUUUUCACCACACUGCCUCCCCUUAAUUUUUUAUUUUAUUUAUUUAGCAAAGUUUAUAUUCCACUUACUAGAGGAAAAGAUACACCAGUGGUUUAAAAGACAGCCUACAAUAUUCAUUUCAAACACUGGUGCUGGAGGGUCUAAUUCAGUGGGCUCUCACCUGUCAGCCUUGGGCUCAGAGGACCCUGAAAAACCAGCAUCAGACUCAGAGCUGGGAAUCUGAUUUGGCACCUCACCUGGUGAUACUGUAGCCUCUGGUUUGGGGUCCAGUGACAGGAGGCUUGGGUCAUGUACAAGCUGGAGAUUAGGUAUCAGAUCAGGGAAACAGAAUCAGAAGCAGGACAUACAGUCACAGACAAGUUAGAGGGCAAAUAUCAGACAGGAUAGAUGCGGUGGGUCUCGGGAUAAGAAAAGGCAGAGUACAUUCAGACGUGGGGAAUAUUGUGUUAGUUUGUUAUAAUGCUAGCUCAUCUGUCCUAUUUACUAACCUGAAACAUUAUGGAACUGUGGCUUUCUGAUCAAUAUACUGCCAUGACAUGCUAAAUUUCAUUCACAGCUAUGGGCAUGGGCAUGACACAACAGCAGAUGUCAUUGGACAACAUUGCUACUCCCCCACCCCUUCCAAAAAUGUGUGCUUCUGUUCCCCCAUGAAAGCAGCAGGAAAGAACUGGAUGCUGAUAUUUCAUCCCAAAAUUUAUCACUUUACACUACCAUUUUUUGGGGUUAUGGAGGCUGUAGACAGUUUUUUUUUCUGGAAUCAAAUAACACAGAAAUGAGCACUAAAUAUGCACAGCAUUCCAUUAGUUUAUCUGAAGCGGGUUUUAUGUUGUGCGAAAGCUCAGGUGUAAUUCAGAAAUUAACAGUUAGGGAAACAUCAGGAAAAUGGAAUAAACUCCCGAGUGAAUGCAGCCAGAGCCUGUAUUGUUACAUAAUAGGUCAGUUGUUUAGAUUAGCCUCAGAGAAAGAGGGUUUCUUUAAGGUCUUUGUGUCUCUCUAUUGAGCAGCUGACAGCACUCAGAACUAGAAUGCACCAUUGACCUUUGGAAACCUGUCUGUCUGUCUGGAGUACCACUGAUGCAGGAGAUAAGGGGCCUGAAGGUUGCCUGCUACAGGCCCUGAGUAAAGGCCCUUUCCUGACACCUUAGAAUCAUAGAACUGCGAAGUUGGAAGGGACCCCAAGGAUAAUCUAGUCCAGGGGUCGGCAACCUGUGUCUCAUGGGCCACAAGCGGCUGAUGGGGGUCAUUUAAAUGGCCCACGAGCCGCCCCCGAACCGAGCCACCCACUUGGCGAGUCCUGAUGCACUGCAGGAAUCUCAACUAAAGCAUACAUGACAGAUGAUCAUCCAACCUCCACUUAAAAGCCUCCAAGGAAUAAGAGUCAGCCACCUUCCAAGGGAGACCAUUCCACUGUCAAAUAACGCUUACUGUCAGAAACUUCUUCUUGAUGUUUAGUUGGAAUCUACUGUCUUGUGACUUGAAUGCAUUGGUUCUGGUCCUACCCUCUAGAGCAGGAAGAAACAAGCUUGCCCAUCCUCCAUGUGACAGGCCUGUAGAUAUUUGAAAAUGGCUAUCAUAACUCCCUCAACCAUUCCUCAUAAGGCUUUGUUUUCCAGACCCUUGAUCAUCUUGGUUGCAUUUCUCUGCACACGUUCAUACUUGUCAAUAUCCUUCUUAAAUUGUGGCACCCAGAACUGGAUACAUUAUUCCAGGUGUGGUCUGACCAAGGCAGAGUAGAGCGGGACUAUUUCUUCCCUUCAUCUGGACAUUAAACUUCCGUUGAUGCAGUCUAGAAUAGCAUUAGCUUUUUGCUUUUUUCUUUGCUGAAGCAUCACUCCCUUUGUAUUCCAGGUUCCAGUGCAGCAGAGGUAGACCCACUCCCUUACAGUUCCAUAUAAUUCUUCACCAGGCAAAAUAUGUAUUCAGGCUGUGCAAUAAACGCUUUUGAAGUCUCCAGUCCCCCCCCCCCCAAGUUAAGGCUGGACAUAUUUUUUUGCCCACAGAGGAAAAGCGAGAGAGAGAAGGCAGGCUGAAAUUGUCUUGAAAAAAAAGAGGGGAAAAAAAGAAAUUGUCUUGAAUUCUACUUUUAACAAAAUUGGCUUACCUUCAUAUUCUGUGGCCUAUAUCAAGUUCUGAACACUGCCUUUCAUCCAACAUGACUUUGUGGAGAUGAAGAGCUCAACCAGGCCCUGCUCCUGAGAAUGUCCCUUUCUUGCUUUGACAGUAUCAACCUGCCCCCCUGACCACUGGGACCUUUUGGCAAUUCAUCUUUCAGUCACCUAGUUUUCUGCAAAACAGCAAGUAGCGAGGAGGUAGCUUGCUUGCUGGCCAGAAUGAGCUGCCCCUGGACUGAAGUUGAAGUGGAGAAGCAGCCCCUGAUGUGAUAAGGAGGUGGGGGAGAGAAGUGGGAGGAUCACUUUGAUGUCUUCAAGAAAAUUUGUCAUUGAUACAAUCUCUUUUUCUUCCUCCCCACAAAGAUUUUCCACUGAAAAGACA